ensembl:lncRNA
GCAUCAAUGUCUGGUUUCCAGACCACAACCAGGAGUCAUAUCCAUUCUUCAAAUGGUUUGUAAAGAAUGUGCGCUUAAACGAGGCAGGAUGGCAGUGGUCGUCAUAUCACCUGGAACAAUCACCAGGCAAGGACGACUGCGUUGUGACUGCUGUUUUGCAGAGAGCCCCUGUCCAUCAUUAUUAAUACUUCCAUGGAGAAACCACGUUUUCAUUUAAAUUUAACUUGGCGUCUCAGCUGGUGUCCACGCGUGUUUACCGACCCGUCUGUGGACCUCAGAAGCCGCGGUCCCUGAGCCGAAGGCGGAGGAGCGCUGCCCACCCCGCCAGAUGGAAAAGGGACCACACCAUCGCUCAGCAGCAUCACUCCUGUUAUGUGCGAACGGCGCCACCUGGCGUUCAGUGUUGGUGGAGACCCUGGUGUUAGGCGACAUGGCGACGAUUCACUCUCCCAAAUUCUGAGGGCAUUUCUUGGGUUCGAGGUUUCUACAGGUACCCUCCACAGCCAGGGUCGCACUACCCGCUCACCGUUCCAUCAUCCCCACGGCUGCGCAGCCGGCAGAUGAGAAGCCACUUCUUCCAAGGACAGACUCUCUGUUACAUGUAAGGAAUUGGUUGAAUAAAGGUCUCGCCCAACUCCCAUUCCCACUAUUUUUUUUUUUUUUACUGCAACAUAGUGAUUUAAUAUUUCUGUACAUUAUAAAAUGAUCACCAUGAUAAACCUAGUUACCACCUGUCACCAAAGUUAUUACAAUGUUUUGAACCAUAUUUCUCUAUGCCGUACAUUACAGCCCAUGACUUAUUUGGUAACGAAAUUUCUACCUCUUAAUCUCUCAAACGCACAUGGAAGUUCCCAGGCUAGGGGUAAAGUUGGAGCUGCAGCUGCCGGCCCAUGCCACAGCCACGUCAGAUCUGAGCUGCAUCUGUGACCUACACCCACAGCUUACGGCAACUCUGGAUCCUUAACCCACUGAGCGAGGCCAGGGAUCAAACCCACAUCCUCAUGGAUACUUGUUGGGUUUGUUACUGCUGAGCCACGACAGGAACUCUUGGUAUUCGUCUUUCUUGUCUAGCUAAUUUCACUUAGCAUAGUAUCCUUUAGGUCCAUCCAUGUUGUUGCAAAUGGCAGCAUAUCAUCCUUUUAUGGCUAAUAUGCCACUGUAUUUGGGUAACACAUCUUCUUAAUCCUUUCAUCUAUUGGUGGAAACUUAAGUUGCUUCCACAUCUUGGCUACUGUCAACAUUGCUGCAAUUAACAUAGACCUGCACCUAGUUUGCAAAUCAGUGUUUUUGUUUUCUUUGGGAAAAAUACCAAAUUCCACUUCCUUGGUGGAUCCUGUGGCUAGGGUGGGGGCAGGUAACCUCAGUAAGACUACGCUGGUCACACAUUGGGCAGCUGCUCCUAUCCUGGCCCGUCACUCUGCCCUGGAGCCCCCUGAGGUCAGCAUCUGCAGCUUUACCGCUUUGUUUACAGCUCUGCAGAGUUAGGUGUUCAGAGAACUUUCUCUUUUUCAUCCAGGUUUAGCAGCUAAGCAUUUCCUCCUGACACUUUCAUUUAUUAAUUAUUGAAGGGUUGUUACUGUUCCUUCUUCCAGAAGCUAGACAAGAGGUCCCCGAUUGAGCUGAUUUUUGCAAAGAAUCAUGAAAUGAGAACUCAUUCUCACAGCCACUUCCAAGGAAGGGUGAGCAGGCUCCCAAGCUCUCAUUUCACUCUCUUGAGGAAACAGUCAUUCUGUGCCAAUAAAGCAGCACUUUUCAAAAAACCUUAUGGUGUUUUUAGAGCAUUUUAGGUUUAAAGAUAAAUAAGAUAACCCAGAACUCCCCUGUAUUUCACCCUCCCCCUAAAAAUCUCUCCUACUAUCUUGUGUUCGUGGGGGACACUUGCUAGAACUGAUGACAUAAUAUCGGUGUGUUGUUUCUAAAAGUCCAUAGUUCACCUUAGGAUUGAUUCUUUGUGUUGUACAGUCUAUGGGUUUCAACAAACAUGUAAUGUGCCCACAAGUUUGCUUUCACUGCCCCGAACAUCCCUCGUGGGCCACGUAUUCACCCCUCCCUCUCCCCCCGCCACCACUCAUCCUUUCACUGUCUCUAGAGUUUUGCCUUUUCCAGAAUGUUAUAUACUUGGCAUCAUUCAAUACGUAUUCUUCACCAACUGGCUUCUUUCCCUAAGCUAUAGGCAUUUAAGAUUUCCCUGUGUCUUUUUUUUUUUUUUCCCCUUUGUCUCGUUUGUCAUUUUAGGGCCUCUCCCUCGGCAUAUGGAGGUUCCCAGGCUAGGGGUCCAAUUGGAGCUGUAGCUGCUGGCCUACACCAGAGCCACAGCCACGCGGGAUCCGAGCUGCGUCUGUGACCUACACCCCAGCUCACAGCAACACCGGAUCCUUAACCCACUGAGCCAGGCCAGGGAUCGAACUCUCAGCCUCAUGGUUCCUAGUCGGAUUCGUUUCCGCUGCACCACGACGGGAACUCCUCCCUGUGUCUUUUCAAGGCCUGAUAACUCAUGGCCCUGAUAACUUUUUUUAAUCAUUGAAUAAUAUUCCAUUGUAGGGAGGUGCUACAGUUUAUUCAUUCAUUCAUCUACGGAAGGACAUUGUGGUUGCUUCCGGUUUGGGGCAUAUGAAUAAAGCUGCUAUAAACAUUCAUGUGCAGUUUUUUGCAUGGACAUAAAACUUUCCAUUGGGAUAAAUACCCAGGAGUUCAAUUUCUGGAUUAUAUACUAUGUUUGACUUUGUCAGAAACUGCCAAAAUGUCCUCCAAAGUGGCUAUACCAUUUUGCAUUCCCAUUUUGCAUCCCCAGUAAUGAAUAAAAGUUCCUCCUCGUGUUCCAA